rnacentral:rRNA from 1 species
CCCUUAGAUGUCCGGGGCUGCACGCGCGCUACACUGACACAGGCAACGAGCUUUCCUUUACCGAAAGGUAUGGGUAAUCUUUUGAAACUGUGUCGUGCUGGGGAUAGAUCCUUGCAAUUUUUGAUCUUAAACGAGGAAUUCCUAGUAAGCGCGAGUCAUCAACUCGCGUUGAUUACGUCCCUGCCCUUUGUACACACCGCCCGUCGCUACUACCGAUUGAAUGGCUUAGUGAGGCCUCAGGAUCCGCGCUUAAUGUGUGGAGAAUUUGGACAAACUACGUCAUUUAGAGGAAGUAAAAGUCGUAACA